rnacentral:rRNA from 1 species
AGAGUUUGAUCCUGGCUCAGAACGAACGCUGGCGGCAGGCUUAAUACAUGCAAGUCGAGGGGCAGCGCGGGUAGCAAUACCUGGCGGCGACCGGCAAACGGGUGCGGAACACGUACGCAACCUUCCUUUAAGUGGGGAAUAGCCCAGGGAAACUUGGAUUAAUACCCCUUAAUAUUAUUGAGUGGCAUCACUUGAUAAUUAAAGCUCCGGCGCUUAAAGAUGGGCGUGCGCCUGAUUAGGUAGUUGGCGGGGUAACAGCCCACCAAGCCUACGAUCAGUAACUGGUGUGAGAGCACGACCAGUCACACGGGCACUGAGACACGGGCCCGACUCCUACGGGAGGCAGCAGUAAGGAAUAUUGGUCAAUGGACGCAAGUCUGAACCAGCCAUGCCGCGUGGAGGAUGACGGCCCUCUGGGUUGUAAACUCCUUUUAUCUGGGAAGAAAUGCAGAUUUUCUAAUCUGUUUGACGGUACCAGAGGAAUAAGCACCGGCUAACUCCGUGCCAGCAGUCGCGGUAAUACGGAGGGUGCAAGCGUUAUCCGGAUUCACUGGGUUUAAAGGGUGCGUAGGUGGACAGGUAAGUCAGUGGUGAAAUCUCCAAGCUUAACUUGGAAACUGCCGUUGAUACUAUCUGUCUUGAAUAUCGUGGAGGUAAGCGGAAUAUGUCAUGUAGCGGUGAAAUGCUUAGAUAUGACAUAGAACACCGAUUGCGAAGGCAGCUUACUACACGAUCAUUGACACUGAGGCACGAAAGCGUGGGGAGCAAACAGGAUUAGAUACCCUGGUAGUCCACGCCCUAAACUAUGAUUACUCGACAUCAGCGAUACACUGUUGGUGUCUGAGCGAAAGCAUUAAGUAAUCCACCUGGGAAGUACGAUCGCAAGAUUGAAACUCAAAGGAAUUGACGGGGGCCCGCACAAGCGGUGGAGCAUGUGGUUUAAUUCGAUGCAACGCGAAGAACCUUACCGGGAUUUGACAUCUCCUGUUACCCUUUGAAAGAAGGGGUUCUCUUCGGAGACAGGAAGACAGGUGGUGCAUGGUUGUCGUCAGCUCGUGUCGUGAGAUGUUGGGUUAAGUCCCGCAACGAGCGCAACCCCUAUCUUUAGUUGCUAACACUUUUGGUGAGCACUCUAGAGAGACUGCCGGUGAUAAACCGGAGGAAGGUGGGGACGACGUCAAAUCAUCAUGCCCUUUAUGUCCCGGGCUACACACGUGCUACAAUGGCCUAUACAGAGGGAAGCGACCUGGCGACAGGCAGCGGAUCCCUUAAAAUAGGUCUCAGUUCGGAUUGCAGGCUGCAACUCGCCUGCAUGAAGCAGGAAUCGCUAGUAAUCGCAGGUCAGAAUACUGCGGUGAAUACGUUCCCGGGCCUUGUACACACCGCCCGUCACACCACGAAAGUCUGUCACGCCCGAAGCCGGUGGCCUAACCGCAAGGAGGGAGCCGUCGAAGGCAGGAUAGGUGAUUGGGGUGAAGUCGUAACAAGGUA